rnacentral:rRNA from 1 species
ACGUACGACCAUACCCAGCGGAAAAUACGGGAUCCCGUCCGCUCUCCCAUAGUCAAGCCGCUGAGGGAUAGACUACCUAUCGUCGCCGUU